UAUUUUCGGGUAAGAAAUGCACUGUUAUUUAUUUUGUGUCUAUCAUUUCUUUCUUAAUGUUCAGGCACUAUCAUUUAUUUUGUGCCCAUUGCUUCUUUUUUUGAUGUUCUUGGCUUUAAACUAAAUAAGGUAAACAAUUAAACUUUUAUUUUAAUUGAAUAUUUGAAUAAAUGAUUACUAAUUAUUAGCAAUUUUGUUUAUAAUGUUUGAGU
rnacentral:lncRNA from 1 species